GCUGUGAGCUCGAUGAGUAGGGCGGGACACGUGGUAUCCUGUCUGAAUAUGGGGGGACCAUCCUCCAAGGCUAAAUACUCCUGACUGACCGAUAGUGAACCAGUACCGUGAGGGAAAGGCGAAAAGAACCCCGGCGAGGGGAGUGAAAAAGAACCUGAAACCGUGUACGUACAAGCAGUGGGAGCACAGGUUUACCUGUGUGACUGCGUACCUUUUGUAUAAUGGGUCAGCGACUUAUAUUCUGUAGCAAGGUUAACCGUAUAGGGGAGCCGUAGGGAAACCGAGUCUUAACCGGGCGUUAAGUUGCAGGGUAUAGACCCGAAACCCGGUGAUCUAGCCAUGGGCAGGUUGAAGGUUGGGUAACACUAACUGGAGGACCGAACCGACUAAUGUUGAAAAAUUAGCGGAUGACCUGUGGCUGGGGGUGAAAGGCCAAUCAAACCGGGAGAUAGCUGGUUCUCCCCGAAAGCUAUUUAGGUAGCGCCUCGUGAAUUCAUCUCCGGGGGUAGAGCACUGUUUCGGCUAGGGGGCCAUCCCGGCUUACCAACCCGAUGCAAACUGCGAAUACCGGAGAAUGUUAUCACGGGAGACACACGGCGGGUGCUAACGUCCGUCGUGAAGAGGGAAACAACCCAGACCGCCAGCUAAGGUCCCAAAGUCAUGGUUAAGUGGGAAACGAUGUGGGAAGGCCCAGACAGCCAGGAUGUUGGCUUAGAAGCAGCCAUCAUUUAAAGAAAGCGUAAUAGCUCACUGGUCGAGUCGGCCUGCGCGGAAGAUGUAACGGGGCUAAACCAUGCACCGAAGCUGCGGCAGCGAACGUAUCACCCAAGACAACUUUACGGAGUUGACGAUUGACGGAGCGAAGCGACGUCAAAGCGUUCAUUAAAGUCGAGUUGGCUUAGGGAUACGUUCGUUGGGUAGGGGAGCGUUCUGUAAGCCUGUGAAGGUGUGUCGUGAGGCAUGCUGGAGGUAUCAGAAGUGCGAAUGCUGACAUAAGUAACGAUAAAGCGGGUGAAAAGCCCGCUCGCCGGAAGACCAAGGGUUCCUGUCCAACGUUAAUCGGGGCAGGGUGAGUCGACCCCUAAGGCGAGGCCGAAAGGCGUAGUCGAUGGGAAACGGGUUAAUAUUCCCGUACUUGGUGUUACUGCGAAGGGGGGACGGAGAAGGCUAUGUUGGCCGGGCGACGGUUGUCCCGGUUUAAGCGUGUAGGUGUGUGUUCCAGGUAAAUCCGGUUCACUUUAACACUGAGGCGUGACGACGAGGCACUACGGUGCUGAAGCAACAAAUGCCCUGCUUCCAGGAAAAGCCUCUAAGCAUCAGGUAACAC
rnacentral:rRNA from 1 species